GCUGUCCUCCCGCAGCACAGCUGGGGACCACCGGAGUCUCUGAGGUCCUGGAGCAAGGAGACCAGACUGGCUCUUCUGAGGUCCCGGAGCAAGAAGACCAGACGGGCUCCUCUGACAUCCCGGAGCAAGGAGAACAGACGGGCUCCUCUGAGGUCCCGGAGCGAGGAGACCAGACUGGCUCUUCUUGUUUCUCAUUUGGCCGUUCAGCACAUUGUGGGGACCCCUACUGCCUGUCAGUUACCGUUCUACGGGACAUAGCAGAGAACUAAACAAGAAGCUUAGAUUCUGGUGCAGGCAUGGAACUUCAGAAGGCUCAAAAUGUGCUGGCUGGGUGCUGAGUGUGGCAGGAGCCAGGGGGCACAUGCAAGCCUGCGCAGCCCACCCAGUACCAGGGAAGCAGGAGCAGCAGCCCAAAGAGGGUCCCCCUGUGUUGCCCAGGCUGGUCUUCAACUCCUGGCCUCAAGUGAUCCUUCCGCCUCAGCCUCCCAGAUUGCUGAGAUUACAGGCAUGCACCACCACAUCCAGCCAGGGCGUUCAUUUUCAAGGAUGGGUGCACUUCCUCGGGCCAGUGACGGCGGCCAUGUGUGAAUUUUGUUUCUCUGUGACUGCUUGUCAGCCAUAGGGAUAGGGCGUGCGGUUCGAUUCAGGGCUUGACUGGCCCUGGGAGCACGAGGCUGAGCUCUCCUUCUCUGGAUUCAUUCAGGGUAGCAAGGACAAUUAUGGGGAACAUCCAGAGGAAAACGUUUAGAUCCACAGACUCCGAGAAGCCCUGUGCGAAGAUGUGGCAGCUCAUGCGGUCUGGAAAUUGUUUGGGAGAACACUUGGGGACCCCUUACCCUGGCGAGGUGCCUGUGAACGUUGCCGCCUGUCUGUGGGAGACGCUGAAGCAGCUUCGGAUGACCACACUUGCUAACCAGUUCCCGAGCUGGGGGCCACUGUGAUGUUCUGAGAGUUUUUAUUGUAUGCUUGUGUCUUGGAAUGGGGUGCCUCAAAUGAGCCUUCUCAGUGACCUGAGGACUUUAUGUGUGAGGUGACCUCUGACCUUCAGAUACCCCAGGUUUCUGGAAGAUGCCUUUCUCCAUCAUCCUGGAUCGGGGCUUUCCCAGCUUUGCCUACACCUGGGAGGCGCGAGUAGCCAGAUGAAGUCUUUCUGGUCUUGCUGGUCAGAGCCAGAAGGGCCAGUGCCCGGUCCAGGAGCCUCUCGCAGGCCUUGGGCUGCCCAUCCAGGCGUGGCCUUUCCUUGGCCCUUUGGACGACGACGCCGCGUUUUCCUCUUGGUCUCGGCCUCCCUGCCCACCAUGAGAGUGGACAUGAGAGUGACCAUCUCCAAGGAGGCAGCUGGGUCUUUUCCACUCCCCAUGGCAGGGAGCCAGCUGUCUUCACGCCCUCACCCUAGUGAAGUGGCUGAAUUGCCAGGAUUGAUCACAGCUCUGUUCUGUGUCUGAUCACAGGACAUACACCGUCCUGCAGAGUCUGCAGGCGGGUGGGAGGAGCCAUUGAACAGACCUGGCGUCCUGGGAGGGACACGGAAUUCUUCCCUUGAGAGUCUCAUGCUAUCUUGAGCGGCACUCUGUCACUUCCAAGAUGUGUAGACGUCGUGCUGCGUGUAGGACAAGGACUGGAGCUCACUAAUACGGACCUUACUUUCCAGGAGCGUUGGAUUUGAGCAGCUCUGAGAUGUGUCCUCCUGCAGGGCUGCUGUGCCUGGUGCCCUUUCUCUGGGUCCCUUACCCUCUGCCUCCCUUCCUGUUGGGUCCUCUUCAUUCCCAUUUCUGCUUCCCCAGGGCCAGGAGGGUGCUGGGCACUCGGUGGCCACCUCAAUGACAGUGUGCACAUUUACCUGAAGGGGCGAAGGGUUACCUUUAUAUUUCAG
rnacentral:lncRNA from 1 species